rnacentral:other from 1 species
AGAGUCCUGCUCUGUUUGAUUUGUUGUGCCCAUAUAUAAUCCUACUAACCAAUGAAAGGGAGCCCGGAGUCCCAGGAAGGGAUCGCAGACCUCCCGCCCGGUUUCGGCCGUAAGCGGAGGAAGGGAGCGUGAAAUUUCGGCAGGGCACCCACCUGCCUUUUCGGUAGGUUUUGGUGUGGCACAGACGGCAGAGCGGGUUUUUU